CUGAGCAUGGCAGAGUUGCCUGGGGAAGAAGAUGCUCCUCGGCAGAAAGUGGUACCAGGAGUCCAUCAGACAAUGUUACUGUACUAUUUGCUUUAUAUUUAUUGGACUUUUUUUUUAUUCCUCCUUCUUGUUUUUCAGUUUCAGGAUGUGCAACACAGGGAAAGUAGCCCUGAAAUACACCUGGGUGGAAGCUGCAGAUAGUGAAGCAGUGAAGAGGCCAUACUCAACCACUGUGAUGCGUCGGUUCCUCUCCUCUGCUACUCUAAGGCACCGCAAAAAGCUGCUGCGUCGUUUCUGGUGGCAACAGGAGCAUCCUUUUGAAACACAUCCUUCUGAGCUGCGGCAGCUGCGGCGGCUUGCCAAGCUCAAGCAGCAGCAGCAGGAGUCCGAGCAGCAGCAGCAGGAGUCCAAGCAGCAGCAGCAGGAGUCCGAGCAGCAGCAGCAGGAGUCCAAGCAGCAGCAGCAGGAGUCCGAGCAGCAGCAGCAGCCUUCUGAGCAGCAGCAGCCUUCUGAGCAGCAGCAGUCUUCUGAGGAGGAGCAGCUGGAUUCCAAACAGAAGCAGCAUUCCAAGAAGCAGCACCCCUCCAAGGAACAGCACCUCUCUCAGCAGCAGCAGCCUUCUGAGGAGCAGCUGGAUUCCAAGCAGAAGAAGCAUUCCAAGAAGCAGCACCGCUCCAAGGAUCAGCUUCUCUCUGAGCAGCAGCAGCAGCAGCAGCCCGAGCAACAGCAGCAGCAGCAGCCCGAGCAGCAGGGUGAGCAGCCCAAGCAGCAGGAGGAGCAAUCCAAGGAGCAGCAGCCCAAGCAGCGUGACCACUCCAAGGAGAUACACCGCUCAAAGCAAAAGCACCUCUCCCUGCAGCGUGUCUCUUCCUCCCUGGAAAUCUUCCCAGAUGUCAUCCAUGACCUGCCACUGUUCUCCAUCUACCCCUACCACGGCAUCAUCGCCCCUAGGCAGAAGCAGAUCUUUCAUGUGCUGUUCUCCCCAAAGUGCAUGGGCAAGUUUGAGACCACCAUGAUGUGCAGGAUUCCAAACCUGAAGCCAUCUCUGAAGAAGGUGCGGGUGAUUGUGAAAGGCAGAGCCUGGCAGCAGAGGAGUCUUGACAAACCGAAACGCUGUGCGUUACGGCAGACAGAGAAAGGCCAGGGACCCAAGAAGCAGGUGCACUGGAAAUCAACACCUGAGUGACAGCAUUUGUGUUAGCUGGAGCAUCCUACAGGAGCAACAUCAUGUCUUCUGCUGCUGAUGGUCUCCCACCCCUCACCAGAGACCUCUGCAGCUACCCUUCCAAGCUCCAGUAAACACUUUAUCUUAUCUUAUCUUUAAUCAAACCAUUGGCAAUAAAUUGUUAAUUGUCAGCUUAUCUUGGUUGGAAAGACAGCUGUCUGCGGGACCUCUCUGGAAUGGAGAAUGUGACCAACCCCCUCCCCUCCAAAUUAUUGUAACUUUGAAAUUAAGGGACUUUCAGGCAAAGACAUGGGAAAAGGUUUAACAGUUCUUUACUAGUAUGUAUAACAAGGCAAACAAACAGCAGCACCAGCAGCAACACCAAACAGAACCAGAUACCCAACCACAGCCUUCUCUCAGCUGCAAGCACUUUCCCUUUGGUGUAGCUCCAGUCACAGCCAGGCAGGGAAGGGAGGCAAGUAAUGAAUAAAGCAAUUGCUAGAGAAAUUUUAAUUAAGCUGCAUCAAGGAAUACACUGGAGAACUCAAGCACUGUGUGAUCAAUUCUUAAGAACUUACGGUUAUGAGAGAGUCUAUACAGUAGCCAAAUAGUGACUGAACAAUGCUUGAUUAAAAGAUAAACAAGAAAGUGAUGAGAAAACGCCCAAGUGAGGGAAGAGCCCUAGCCCUUAGACCCAUACAAAAUACAGGUGUAUCUCCAGUCACAGCCAGGCAGGGAAGGGAGGCAAGUAAUGAAUAAAGCAAUUGCUAGAGAAAUUUUAAUUAAGCUGCAUCAAGGAAUACACUGGAGAACUCAAGCACUGUGUGAUCAAUUCUUAAGAACUUACGGUUAUGAGAGAGUCUAUACAGUAGCCAAAUAGUGACUGAACAAUGCUUGAUUUGUUAAAAGAUAAACAAGAAAGUGAUGAGAAAACCCCCUAGUGAGGGAAGAGCCCUAGCCCUUAAACCCUUUCAAAACAUGCAAAUAGAUUACACUGAGUUCCCCAA
rnacentral:lncRNA from 12 species